UUUCCUACGGGGGGCAGCAGUGAGGAAUAUUGGUCAAUGGCCGAGAGGCUGAACCAGCCAAGUCGCGUGAGGGAUGACGGCCCUACGGGUUGUAAACCUCUUUUGUCGGGGAGCAAAGAGAGUCACGUGUGGCUCACUGAGAGUACCCGAAGAAAAAGCAUCGGCUAACUCCGUGCCAGCAGCCGCGGUAAUACGGAGGAUGCGAGCGUUAUCCGGAUUUAUUGGGUUUAAAGGGUGCGCAGGCGGAAUGUCAAGUCAGCGGUAAAAUUUCGGGGCUCAACCCCGCCGUGCCGUUGAAACUGGCG
rnacentral:rRNA from 1 species